rnacentral:rRNA from 1 species
GAUGAACGCUGGCGGCGUGCCUAAUACAUGCAAGUAGAACGCUGAAGGAGGAGCUUGCUCUUCUGGAUGAGUUGCGAACGGGUGAGUAACGCGUAGGUAACCUGCCUGGUAGCGGGGGAUAACUAUUGGAAACGAUAGCUAAUACCGCAUGACAACAGUUAUUGCAUGAUAACUGUUUAAAAGGGGCAACUGCUCCACUACCAGAUGGACCUUCGUUGUAUUAGCUAGUUGGUGAGGUAACGGCUCACCAAGGCGACGAUACAUAGCCGAACUGAGAGGGUGAUCGGCCAAACUGGGACUGAGACAAGGCCCAGACUCCUACGGGAGGCAGCAGUAGGGAAUCUUCGGCAAUGGACGGAAGUCUGACCGAGCAACGCCGCGUGAGUGAAGAAGGUUUUCGGAUCGUAAAGCUCUGUUGUAAGAGAAGAACGAGUGUGAGAGUGGAAAGUUCACACUGUGACGGUAUCUUACCAGAAAGGGACGGCUAACUACGUG